ACCGGCAUAGCUCAGCUGGUAGAGCGUCCGACCGUAGUGUGACUUAGGCAUCGGAUGGUCCCCGGUCUCGAUUCCGGGUUGCCGGAC